CGUGGACGUUUGCCCUCAGGGGCGAGGCGCGACACGAAAAGCAUCCGUGGAGCUCAAGUUUGAGGUGAAACCAGGCUCAGGGUCCACCUGUCCUCUCUGAUCCAUGGAUUUCUGUGUGACCAGAAUGACCCCUGCUCAGUAUUCCACAUCCCCAUGUUCUUACUCCCCCAGGCUUGAGAAGGGUGGGGCAGCCACUG